rnacentral:misc_RNA from 1 species
GGAAGGAUCAUUAAUGAAAUGCAAGGACGUUCUUUUUAGAGGUCCGACCCAAUUCAUUUUCUCACACUGUGCACACUACUACUUUUUUACACCCAUCUUUAACACUUAAAGUAUAAGAAUGUAAACAGUCUCUUAAUUGAGCAUAAAAUUAAAACAAAACUUUCAGCAACGGAUCUCUUGGCUCUCCCAUCGAUGAAGAACGCAGCGAAAUGCGAUACGUAAUGUGAAUUGCAGAAUUCAGUGAAUCAUCGAAUCUUUGAACGCACCUUGCACUCUUUGGUAUUCCGAAGAGUAUGUCUGUUUGAGUGUCAUGAAACUCUCAACCCCCUUGUUUUGUAAUGAGACGAGUGUGGGCUUGGAUUAUGGCUGUUGCCGGCGUAACUGUCGACUCGGCUGAAAUAUACGAGCUACCCAUUUCUAAGAAAUAGACGGUUUGACUCGGCGUAAUAACAUAUUUCGCUGAGGACGUCACAUUCUUAAUCAUCAGUGGUGCUUCUAAUGCGACAUCUAAAUUUAAGCUUUAGACCUCAAAUCAGUCAGGACUACCCGCUGAACUUAAGCAUAUCAAUAAGCGGAGGAAAAGAAACUAACAAGGAUUCCCCUAGUAACGGCGAGUGAAGUGGGAAAAGCUCAACUUUGAAAUCUGGCAGCUUCGCUGUCCGAGUUGUAGUCUCGAGAAGUGUUUUCCGCGCUGGACCAUGUAUGAGUCUGUUGGAAUACAGCGUCAUAGAGGGUGAGAACCCCGUUCAUGACAUGCCUUCCAGUGCUCUGUGAUACACUUUCGAUGAGUCGAGUUGUUUGGGAAUGCAGCUCAAAUUGGGUGGUAAAUUCCAUCUAAAGCUAAAUAUUGGGGAGAGACCGAUAGCAAACAAGUACCGUGAGGGAAAGAUGAAAAGCACUUUGGAAAGAGAGUUAAAAGUACGUGAAAUUGUUGAAAGGGAAACGCUUGAAGUCAGACGUGCGCAGCUUCGGCUAAUGCAGGCUAGCAUCGGUUUUGCGAGUCGGAUAAAGGUAAAGGGAAGGUGGCAGCCUCGGCUGUGUUAUAGCCCUCUACUGAAUACGGAUUGCGAGACCGAGGGAUGCAGCGCGCCGAAAGGCAGAGGGUUCGCCCUUUUCGCGCUCAGGAUGCUGGUGAAAUGGCUUUAAACGACCCGUCUUGAAACACGGACCAAGGAGUCUAACAUGCUUGCGAGUGUUUGGGUGGUCAAACCCAUACGCGUAAUGAAAGUGAAUGGAGGUGGGAUCCUUCGGGAGCACCAUCGACCGAACCGGAUUUUUAAUGAAGGUUUUGAGUAAGAGCACGUAUGUUGGGACCCGAAAGAUGGUGAACUAUGCCUGAAUAGGGUGAAGCCAGAGGAAACUCUGGUGGAGGCUCGUAGCGGUUCUGACGUGCAAAUCGAUCGUCAAAUUUGGGUAUAGGGGCGAAAGACUAAUCGAACCAUCUAGUAGCUGGUUCCUGC